CCAAAACUAAUACAACACGUUUAUAAACUAACUUUGUAAUACUGUUAAUACAGCAGUGAAAGCAACAGUUUGGGCUGCGCUUUUGAUAGCCAAAAAAGGAAAAUGUCGGCAUAUCUGAACACUGAGUCGGGCAUCAUCAAGAAGGUUCCCAGCGAUCAGGACGAUAAGGAGAGCAAAGUGGACAUUUAUGUCAGUGCAGAGAGCCUGAGAAUAUAUGAGAACCCCUGGGUGGAGAGCAAGUCACCAAAUAUAUCAGGACUUGCAGAGGCUCGGCACCCAGGUAUGGACACAACAAGCGUGAGCACCAAGCUUUACAGCAAUCCAGUACAGUAUUCUAAAAAUUGUGAUCCUGGUGUUUUCUUAAGUGUUUCUAAUCAGAGAAAAUUCAGGAAAGAGGUCUCAUAUCAGAAAUGAAUCAAUGCUUCUGGGUGCACUAUGUCUUCUCUUCCUGGCUGGAAUCAUUGGCCUUGGAAUCAAAAGGAAUCAAGACAAAGCGUGCUGGGAUGUAGAGAGAAACCAGUUAUUGACAAUAAUCACUGAUCUCAGGAACACAACUGAUCAAUUAAAAGCCACUAAUACAAAUCUCAGCAAAGAAAUGUGCAGGGAUCUCUGUGAUGCUAAACCAGAUAAAGACUCGGAAUUGCUAAACCAGAUAAAGACUCGGAAUGAGUGAACGGGACAACACUGGCCACAGAACUGUGUGAGGUGAAAUUGUUAUUCAAGGACAUUUCA